ensembl:snoRNA SNORD31 Small nucleolar RNA SNORD31
AUCAGAAGUGAUGAGUUCUCUUUACCGCCCCAGUCUGAUAAUGUAUGACUGAUUGGUAUCCCCUCUGAU